AAAUUUGCUCCUCAACCAUUUUGUGAAAAGUCUUAAAUCACUUGCAGUUUUCCGCACUGUGUUGUCGUUUUCGAACAAAUUUCCGGAAAUGCACGAAGUUGCAUGUGAUAAACGUCACGGAAAUUAACGGAAAGGCAUGUGAUAACAUUCCGGAAGCAGUCAAUAAAGGUUCCUUUAUCAGCCCGCUGAGGAAAUUCUCAGUAAUCUGGUCAAUAAACCUUGUAAUCCUUUCAUAGCCUUUUAAUAUUUUUAAAUGUUAUUGAACUGUAAAAUUUUAGUAAUAUUUUAUACAAGUAUAUGAUAAUAGCACGUUCUUACCACGAUUACACUACGUUCAAACCGCGAUCUCACUACGCUCUCAGCAA
rnacentral:lncRNA from 1 species